rnacentral:rRNA from 1 species
UAUAUCCCGCAACAAGCGCAAUCUUUAUCCUAGUUGCAGCGAUUCGGUCGGGAACUUUGGGGAGACUGCCGGUGAUAAACCGGAGGAGGGUGGGGACGACGUCAAGUCAUCAUGGCCCUUACGGGAUGGGCUACACACGUGCUACAAUGGCGUAUACAAAGGGAAGCUAGCCUGCGAGGGUAUGCGGAUCUCAUAAAGUACGUCGUAAUCCGGAUUGGAGUCUGCAACUCGACUCCAUGAAGUCGGAAUCGCUAGUAAUCGCGGAUCAAAAUGCCGCGGUGAAUACGUUCCCGGGCCUUGUC